CCCUCGCCUCCCCCGUUCUGUUCUUGGAGCGCUUAUUGACAUUUCCUCAGCGGAUGCAUGAGAAACACCGGCGGGCCGGAGAUCGAAACCCUAGAAGAAGCGAGCGCCAUUGUUCUCGCCCCUAUCGCCGGCGAGGUUUUCUGUCCUGUUCUUGAUGACGUGAGCUCACGAUCGCCCAUGCGCGGUUGUCCCUAGGAGAGCUGAUUGCUCGGGUUCUCCGUCCGAUUCUUUCGUGAGCGGUGGAUUGCUGAAGUAUUUGCACUAUGGAGGAUUCAUGAUUUCCGUGGGUGGUUCAACUAACUUUUCUUAUAUAUUUGCUCUCAUCGUGACAGUAUAGCGAAAAAUUAUUGUGAAAGCUUGAUGAUUUUAUUCUUUCAUUGGGAAAAUAUCUAUUUAUAUAGAUUUGAGGAA